ensembl:piRNA 21ur-332 ncRNA
UGCUCAAUUGAAAAAAACAGG